ACUACCACUCUCUUAUGAAUGGGAGAGGUCUUCUAAACCUUUGGUAUAGGUUCAAAUCCUAUUGGACGCA
rfam:Oryza sativa Japonica Group DNA, chromosome 3, cultivar: Nipponbare, complete sequence.